CUGCACAUGCUCCGUCUGCUGAUAGCCAGCAAGCUGCAAAAUGCUGCCUGGCAUGCCUGGGAGAAAACCAGAAAGCGGGGUUGAGCUUUCGUGACCGGUUCCUGGGCCACCGCUGCUCCCAGGCAGCCCGCUCCCGAGCGGCGAGUGACAGCUCCUGCGCCCCCCACCCCCGCACCCCCCGCACCCCGCGGCCUCCCGCUCCCAGCGCCGGGGUUUUCUGGCUCAGCGGGACAGAGUCCGGGAGUGGGGUGGGGGGCAGCCUGCGGGGCCGAGACCGGCAGCAGGUGCGACCAGUCUCAUUUCUUUCAGCCACACACUUAACCCCACAUCUGAGGGAGUUUACUGCCCCAGAGUGGGAGAAGGUAGGUUCAACUGCGGGGCCCUGAAUCCUGUCUACCUUCCCACACACCAUCCUGUAAGGGAACCGGGCGCAGAGGAGAGCUGAGCAACUGAGCUUUACACCAAAGAAGGUGGGCGAUACAUUUAAAAAGACGAUUUACAGCAAGGUAAUUU